ensembl:snRNA U6 U6 spliceosomal RNA
AUGUGUUUGCUUUGGUAGCACAUAUAUUAAAUAAUUGGAAUAAUACUGAGAAGAUUAGCAUAGCUCCUGCCCAAGGAUGACACACAAAUUUGUGAAGCCUUCCAUAUUUUU